rnacentral:lncRNA from 1 species
UUUUUUUUUUUUUUCUUUUUAGGGCUGCACCAAGGCAUAUGGAAGUUCCCAGGCUUCCCAGACCAAAUCAGAACUACAGCUGCCAGCCAGAGCCACAGCAAUACAGGAUCCAAGCUGCAUCUGCGACCUACACCACAGCUCAUGGCAACAUCAGAUCCUUAAUCCACUGAAUGAGGCCAGGGAUCAAACCCAUGUCCUCAUGGAUACUAGUCAGAUUCGUUUCUGCUGAGCCAUGAUGGAAACUCCUUAACUGUUUUUAAGUGUACAGUUCAGUAAGAUUAACUACUCACAUUGUUAUCCAAAAGAUCUCCAAAGCUUUUUCACCUUGCAAGAAUGAAACACUAUUCCCACUGAACAACGCCCUGCUUCCUCCUCCUGCCAGUCCCUGAUGACCACAGUUCUACUCUCUGUUUCCGUGACUGACUAUUUUAGAUAUUUAUAUAAGUGGAGUCAUAUAGCAUUUGUCUUUUUGUGACGGGCUUAUUUCACUGAGCAUAAUGUCUUCAAGGUUCAUCCAUGUGGUAGCAUGUGCCAGGAUUUUCUUCCUUUUAAGGCUGAAUAAUAUUCCAUCAUAUGUAUAUACCACAUCUUCUUUAUAUAUUUAUCUAUCAACAGACAUUUGGGUUGCUUCUACCUCUUGGCUCUUCUUUUUAGUUUUUUCUUCUUUUUUGCCUGCCCCUGUAGCAUAUGGAAGUUCCUGGACCAGGGACUGAAUCUGAGUGGAAACUGUGACCUAUUACACAGCUGCAGCAACACUGGAUCUUUAACCCACUUGUGCCAAGCAGGGGUUCCAACUGGUGCCUCCACAGAAACAAGACAGAUCAUUAACCCAAUGCACCAUGUUGGGAACUCCCCGACUAUCCAUUCUUUUUUUUUUUAAAGGGCCGUACCUGUGGCAUAUAGAAGCUAGGGGUUGAAUCAGAGCUAUAGCUACAGGCCUACUCCACAGCUGCAGCAAUGUGGGAUCUGAGCUGCAUCUGUUACCUAUGCUGCAGCUUUCAGCAAUACUGGAUUCUUAACCCACUGAGCAAGGCCAGGCAUUGAACCCAAAUUCUCAAGGAUACUAAUUGGGUUCUUACCCCAGUGAGCCACAAUGGGAACUCCCUGUCUACUCAUUCUUGAUCUUUGAUGUAUAGAUGCUAUGCAUGUGGUAUGUGGACCUUGUAUACCUAGAAAACUAUGAUGUGUGGCCUUUUAGUCCUUGCAGAGCCAAAGCGACAUGAGAGAGGAUAGGGGCUAUAGGGCCUCCUUGCCUUGGUUAAGUAAAUCCUGGAAAUUGUUGUUAUGGAAGUAACAUGAGGAUAUUCUUACCUCAUGUCUGUCACAGCGAGCCUGAAUCAGUGACAGAAAUGAAUACUGUGCAUGUUAAAACACAUUUAAAAUCAUGGAGUUCCCGUCGUGGCGCAGUGGUUAACGAAUCCGACUAGGAACCAUGAGGUUGCGGGUUCGGUCCCUGCCCCUUGCUCAGUGGGUUAACGAUCCGGCGUUGCCGUGAGCUGUGGUGUGNUGUCACAGUGCUGCUCGGAUCCAGCAUUGCUGCAGCUGUGAGAUGGCAGCUGCAGCUCUGAUUCCAAUCCCUGCCUGGGAACUUCCCAUAUGCUGCAGGUGCGGCCCUAAAAAAAAAAAAGAAAGAAAAUCCUCUCUCAGUUUAUCAGCCUGUUGGGCGGAGAGCAGUUCGAGCUGGACUCAGUAACCAUCACCAUUACGCCUACCACCUCCCGAGCAGGAGUGUAAGUGCACAGGUGGAGUGCCAGGACAGGGCGUGUACGUACCUCAUUUCACCUUGGCAAUCACCUGUUGGACAGUUAAUAAUCUGAUGAGAAAGCUGAGGUUCUGAGACUUUUAGUUACUGGCUCAGAGGUGGAGGGGCUAAAUGCACAGCCCAAAUCUGUGCCCUUUUCUCCGCGGGCUAUCCUAUUCUUCAUCAUGGACUGGUGAUCCUUUCCUCAACCACUCUAGCCAUUUGCACACUCACUUGGCCUUUCAUCUACUGAGCAGAGCUGGCACAUAACUCUAACGAGUGUGUCCUGUGUGCUAGAAACUGUCAGGUGGCUUACGUACGGAGGUGACUCUUAAUCCUCACAGUUUUAAGAGGUGGUCACCUUUGAACUUUUUAUUUGAAUAGUGUCAUUUAUUUUCUAAGCAGGAGUCCAUACAGAAAAGUACACAGAUCCUAAGUAUACAUCCCAGUGGAUUUUCACAAGAUGAACACACCUAGGUGGGAUCACACCUGGAUCAAGAAACAGAACAGCAUCUCCCCUCCCCUCUCCUGAGCAUCCACCCUCUCUCUUGAAUACCAUUAUCUCUGUGCAGCAGGCAUGAGGAUUUUUGUGUCUGAUUCAGAGACAGUUGCAAAUAAUUAAAGAAACAGAUUUUUUUUAAAAAUACAGGUUUAUUUAAUUAAUUUUUUCAGCCGUGACCUCAGCAUGCUUCCUGGGCCAGGGAUCAAAGCCAAGUCGUAGCAGUGAUAACAUGAAAUCCUUAACUGCUUGGCCACCAGGAAAUUCCCAAGGUUUUAUAUUUUAUAAUCUCAGAAUGAGUUUAAUAAGCCAGGCCUCUCCUGUCAUGUGGGAGUAACUUCAAAGAGAAGGGUACAGAUAACAAUUUUAAAUCAGAAUCUUUGAAAUGUCCUAUGACUUCUGUGAGAAUAACUUAAAUGCCCCAUAUUGAAAGGCAUUUCAGCAAUAUUUAUUUUUUUAUUUUUUAAAUUAAUAAAAAAAUUUUGGCCACAUCUGUGGCACACUGAAGUUCCCAGGUCGGGGACUGAACCAAUGCUGCAGCAGUGACAACUUGGGAUCCUUAACCACUAGGCCACAAGGGAAUGCCAAUAUUUAAAAAAACUUUUUUUUGUCUUUUUAGGGACCCACCCACGGCAUAUGGACGUUCCCAGGCUAGGGGUCAAAUCGGAGCUGUAGCCACCAGCCUAUGCCACAGCCACAGCAAUGCAGAUCCAAGCUUCGUCUGUGACCUACACCACAGCUCAUGGCAACGCCCGAUCCUUACCC